GGUGGGUUGGCUCAGUGGUUAGAGCUUAAGUCUCGAAACCUAAAGGUCGCGGGAUCGAAUCCCGCUAGAGGCUG
rnacentral:tRNA from 1 species